rnacentral:lncRNA from 1 species
CCUUAAUCUCCUGUAGGAUACAUCACUGCUGGUGUCCUUAAUCUCCUGUAGGAUACAUCACUGCUGGUGUCCUUAAUCUCCUGUAGGAUACACCACUGCUGGUGUCCUUAAUCUCCUGUAGGAUACAUCACUGCUGGUGUCCUUAAUCUCCUGUAGGAUACAUCACUGCUGGUGUCCUUAAUCUCCUGUAGGAUACAUCACUGCUGUUGUCCUUAAUCUCCUGUACCGUAAAUUCCGGACAAAAGCCGCAACUUUUUUCCCAGGCUUUGAACCUCGCGGCUUAAACAAUGACGCGGCUAAUAUAUGGAUUUUUCCUGCUUUCAAAAAAAAAAUUCUCCAAAAAACACAUUCUGUGACGUGCUCAGUUUUUUGGUGGCAUGAAGCUUUCAUUAGACCAAUGAUAUUGCCGAACGGGUUACGGUCAAACAACUUUUUUGUUUACUGUUUAGAUUAAAUCGAGCGCUGUCAAAUUUCCCAUCAUUCUGAUUAUGGUAGUCAUUUUGUCACCCUCAUCAUGGCAAAGACACGGAGAAAUGCAUAUGAUGCAGCUUUCAAGUUGAAGGCGAUUGAUCUGGCUGUUGGAAAAGGAAAUAGAGCUGCUGCACGGGAGCUUGGUCUUAAUGAGUCGAUGAUAAGACGUUGGAAACAGCAGCGUGAGGAAUUGACUCACGCCUACUAAAGCUUACUGCUCAUUUUUUAUUUUUUUGUUACAAGCCAUGUUUCGUUAAAGCCUAUUUAUUUUUUGUUACAAGCCGUGCUUCGUUAAAGCCUAUUUAUUUUUGUUACAAGCCGUGUUUCGUUAAAGCCUAUUUAUUUUUGUUACAAGCCGUGUUUCGUUAAAGCCUGUGUAAAGUUAAUUUGUUUCAAUGUACCGGUAGGCACCUGCGGCUUAUAGACAUGUGCGGCUUAUUUAUGUUCAAAAUAAUAUUUAUUUUUAAAUUCAGUGGGUGCGGCUUAUAUUCAGGUGCGCUUAAUAGUCCGGAAAUUACGGUAGUCUACACCACUGCUGUGGUCCUUAAUCUCCUAUAGGAUACACUACUGCUAUUGUCCUUAAUCUCAUGUAGUCUACACCAGCGCUCCCUCCCACCCUCUCCCUGUCUCUCACUCUCCAUCCUGUCUCUCCCUCUCCCCCUCUCUCUCUCCACCCUCUCUCUCUACCCUGUCUCUCCCUCUCCUCCCCCUCUCCCCCUCCAAACCCUCUCUCUCUCAAUCCACCCUCUCUCAACCCUGUCUCUACCUCUCCUCCCCUCUCUCACUCUCCACCCUGUCUCUCCACCCUGUCGCUCCCUCUCCACCCUGUCGCUCCCUCUCCACCCUGUCUCUCCCUCUCCACCCUGUCGCUCCCUCUCCACCCUGUCUCUCCCUCUCCACCGUCUCUCCCUCUCCACCCUCUCUCUCUCAAUCCACCCUCUCUCAACCCUGUCUCUACCUCUCCUCCCCUCUCUCACUCUCCACCCUGUCUCUCCCUCUUCACCCUCUCUCUCCACCCUGUCCCUCCCUCUCCACCGUCUCUCUGCACCCUCUCUCCCUCUACUCCCCCUCUCUUCCACUCCACUCUCUCUUCCUCUCCACCCUGUAUCGCCCGCUCCGCCCUCUCUCGUCACCCUCUCUCCCUCUCCACCCUUUCUCUCCCUCUCCACCCUUUCUCUCCCUCUCCACCCUCUCUCUCCACCCUGUAACUCCCUCUCCACCCUGUCUCUCCCUCUACUCCCUCUCUCGACCCUGUCUCUCCCUCUCCACCCUCCCUCUCCACCCUGUAACUCCCUCUGCACCUGAAACUCCCUCUGCACCCUGUCUCUCCCUCUUCACCCUGUCUCAUCACCCUGUCCCUCCCUCUCCUCCUACUCUCUCGCUCUCCACCCUCUCUCUCCACCCUGUCUCUCCCUCUCCUACUCUCUCGCUCUCCACCCUCUCUCUCCACCCUCUCUCUCCACCCUGUCUCUCCCUCUCCACCCUGUCUCUCCCUCUCCACCCUGUCUCUCCCUUGCCACACCCCUCUCUCUCUCCAUGCUGUCUUUCCCUCUCCUCCUUCUCUCUAGCCUGUCUCUACCCCUCCUCCCUCGCUCUCUCUCCACCAUGGAAACAUUUUCCAAGGAAAAUGAACGGUCAGACUUUAUAGAGAAAUGUCUCCCAUUGAGUUCCCUCGGCGCACACCCCCCAGGUAGUCUGAGACUCCACACACCUCAGGUAGUCUGAGACUCCACACACCCCCCAGGUAGUCUGAGACUCCACACCCCCCCCCAGGUAGUCUGAGACUCCACAC